rnacentral:rRNA from 1 species
ACAACGAAGAGUUUGAUCCUGGCUCAGGAUGAACGCUAGCUACAGGCUUAACACAUGCAAGUCGAGGGGCAGCAUGGUCUUAGCUUGCUAAGGCCGAUGGCGACCGGCGCACGGGUGAGUAACACGUAUCCAACCUGCCGUCUACUCUUGGACAGCCUUCUGAAAGGAAGAUUAAUACAAGAUGGCAUCAUGAGUCCGCAUGUUCACAUGAUUAAAGGUAUUCCGGUAGACGAUGGGGAUGCGUUCCAUUAGAUAGUAGGCGGGGUAACGGCCCACCUAGUCUUCGAUGGAUAGGGGUUCUGAGAGGAAGGUCCCCCACAUUGGAACUGAGACACGGUCCAAACUCCUACGGGAGGCAGCAGUGAGGAAUAU